rnacentral:rRNA from 1 species
CCUACGGGAGGCUGCAGUGGGGAAUAUUGGACAAUGGGCGAAAGCCUGAUCCAGCCAUGCCGCGUGUGUGAAGAAGGCCUUCGGGUUGUAAAGCACUUUCAGUGGGGAAGAAAGCCUUGGGGCUAAUACCCUCGAGGAAGGACAUCACCCACAGAAGAAGCACCGGCUAACUCCGUGCCAGCAGCCGCGGUAAUACGGAGGGUGCGAGCGUUAAUCGGAAUUACUGGGCGUAAAGCGCGCGUAGGCGGUCUGAUAAGCCGGUUGUGAAAGCCCCGGGCUCAACCUGGGAACGGCAUCCGGAACUGUCAGGCUAGAGUGCAGGAGAGGAAGGUAGAAUUCCCGGAGUAGCGGUGAAAUGCGUAGAGAUCGGGAGGAAUACCAGUGGCGAAGGCGGCCUUCUGGACUGACACUGACGCUGAGGUGCGAAAGCGUGGGUAGCAAACAGGAUUAGAUACCCGAGUAGUC